CUACGUAGCUCAGAGUUUGAUCCUGGCUCAGGACGAACGCUGGCGGCGUGCUUAACACAUGCAAGUCGAGCGGUAAGGCUCCUUCGGGAGUACACGAGCGGCGAACGGGUGAGUAACACGUGAGCAAUCUGCCCUUCACUUCGGGAUAACCGCCGGAAACGGUGGCUAAUACCGGAUACGACCACCUCGGGCAUCCGAUGGUGGUGGAAAGCUCCGGCGGUGGAGGAUGAGCUCGCGGCCUAUCAGCUUGUUGGUGGGGUAAUGGCCUACCAAGGCAACGACGGGUAGCCGGCCUGAGAGGGUGACCGGCCACACUGGGACUGAGACACGGCCCAG
rnacentral:rRNA from 1 species